rnacentral:rRNA from 1 species
AUUGAACGCUGGCGGCAGGCUUAACACAUGCAAGUCGAGCGAUCGGCGGACGGGUGAGUAAUGGCUGGGAAACUGCCUGAUGGAGGGGGAUAACUACUGGAAACGGUAGCUAAUACCGCAUACCAUCAGAUGUGCCCAGAUGGGAUUAGCUAGUAGGUGGGGUAAUGGCUCACCUAGGCGAAGCUCCCUAGCUUGUCUGAGAGGAUGACCAGCCACACUGGAACUGAGACACGGGCCAGAGUCAUACUGGAGGCAGCAGUGGGGAAUAGUGCACAAUGGGCGCAAGCCUGCAGCAGCCAUGCCGCGUGUGUGAAGAAGGCCGUCGGGUUGUAAAGCACUUUCAUCGAGGAGGCGUUACUCGCAGAAGAAGCACCGGCUAACUACGUGCCAGCAGCCGCGGUAAUAC